AUGGAGGACGGGCUACCGAAAGUACUUUAUCAUCAGUUUCAGCCAUGUCCAUAGGGAUUGGAGUUGGUUGUGGAGCAUUAGUACUGAUAAUGCUUGUUAUUAUAACUGUCCUGUUGUUUUUACAACGGCGCAAACGAAAAAGAGAUACAAAGCCAUAUGAAAAUGUAGACCUCCCUGUAACCCGAGUAGCUGAUAAUGACUCCGCCCUUUAUCAGCCUGUAACAGAGUCAAAUGUGGAAGUUGAUAUGCAUCAGUAUGCCCGGCUAGGUGAAGGACCUUCCGAACGACAAAACAAUAUGAUUCCUUGCUUUUACGAGAAUAUGGAACUAGUUAACACCAAAGUCUACAUUGUUCCGAACGAGACGUAGGCUACACUUCUACGGGGGAGAGGGUACACUAUGGUUAGCAUGACAACUCGGAUCAGAAAGAAACUACCGGUUUCUAGAAAUGUGUCUUGGUUGACAACGACACCUUUAGUGCACAGUGAUUCCUGUGACAGAAAUAUUCUUUAUGACUCGCACGUAUUUUGUAUGUAUUUGGUCGACGUAUACGUGCAAUAUGGAAAAUACAAAUUAAUACAACGUUUUCUCCGACGCUUAUGCAGUAGAACUUGACCUCUUAAC